UGGGGAAUCUUGCGCAAUGGGCGAAAGCCUGACGCAGCAACGCCGCGUGGGGGAUGAAGGCCUUCGGGUUGUAAACCCCUUUCAGCAGGAACGAAUCUGACGGUACCUGCAGAAGAAGGUCCGGCCAACUACGUGCCAGCAGCCGCGGUAACACGUAGGGACCAAGCGUUGUCCGGAUUUAUUGGGCGUAAAGCGCUCGUAGGCGGUUUGGUAAGUCGGGUGUGAAACCUCCAGGCUCAACCUGGUGACGCCACCCGAUACUGCUAUGACUUGAGUUCGGUAGGGGAGCGGGGAAUUCCUGGUGUAGCGGUGAAAUGCGCAGAUAUCAGGAGGAACACCGGUGGCGAAGGCGCCGCUCUGGGCCGAAACUGACGCUGAGGAGCGAAAGCGUGGGGAGCGAACAG
rnacentral:rRNA from 1 species